AAAGAACCUGGAAUUUGAUGUCCUAGGGCAGGAGAAGAAAAGGGGUACUGCUCUGGAAAAGAGAGAGAAAGAGAGAAAAAAAAGGAAGCAAGAAAAAGAAAAAAAGAAAAGCAAGCAAGCUGAAUGUCUUCCUUCUUCCACCUCCUUUGUUCCUGCUGUACUGCCACUGCCCAAUAUAUAAUAUUUCAGGAAACAUUGCUUUAUGAAGGGCUCCAUAACAGUUAAUGAAGGAGAGCCAAGAUACCCACCUUGGAGCCCAAGCUGAGGGGUAUUUUCGAUGUGUAUCUUGUGGAACCAGUCCUGCCAAUCUCAUCCAGUGACUAAAAAUGCCUAACCUCCUGGGAAUGGAGGUCAAGCAAGUUUCAGCCUCAUUUUACACAACACCUAUUCAAGAUGGAGGUGCUCUGGUUCAAAUCACUCUGACAAGCAGUCACUACCCCUGCCCCAAAGCCAAGCAUUGUAGGGAAUCUUAUCUGGUAACAAAGAGUUGAUCUGAAGUGAUGUUUGAAAAUGAGUGGGGUGGUUGUUUGUUGAAUCAGUGAGACAAUGAGUAGGGAAUGAGGGAGACUGUCAUUUAAUUGGUAAAGACCAGAGGUGCUAAUUGUUCUGCAAUUCCAUAGCAUUUCACUCAGCAUUCCACAAAAUCAAGCAUGCUCCCUCCCGAAAUAUUCACAUCGCCCCACUGAGAAACUGCCCCAGAGCACCCUGGGGAAGCUCAGCUUUGCAUUCCCACUUCUAUUAGACAGCCUUUGUGACACACACACCUUGUCCCUGUGAACAUGGUGAAUGGAAAUUAUCUUCUCCACAUUAACUUUGAAUACAUGGGCCAAGGAAAUGGCCCUAGGUGUAUACCAGUCCUGCUUCUUUCUCACUCCUUGGCUAGAGAAAGAAAGAAUUUAGCAAAUUCAUCAUUAGUCAAGAAUAAGGGGCUGCAUUUUGUUUUAAAAAUCCUCUCCUUCCAUUUUCAAUUCUAGUACAGGCCAUAUCAGAAUUAUAAUUAAUGAAAUAAAUGUUAAUUCAAAUUAUCUAUA
rnacentral:lncRNA from 1 species